CUUGCCCUCCCACAGGGCCUCCCCUAGGCGGUGGCCAGGACUGGGUAGCUGGUGCUGAGAGAAAACCAUUGUUGCGUCCUUGUACCAGCAACAGAUGUCACUCAGUGGGACAGGG
rnacentral:snoRNA from 1 species